rnacentral:rRNA from 1 species
AUUGAACGCUGGCGGCAGGCCUAACACAUGCAAGUCGAGCGAGCGGCGGACGGGUGAGUAAUGUCUGGGAAACUGCCUGAUGGAGGGGGAUAACUACUGACAACGGUAGCUAAUACCGCAUACCAUCAGAUGUGCCCAGAUGGGAUUAGCUAGAAGUUGGGGUAACGGCUCACCAAGGCGACGAUCCCUAGCUGGUCUGAGAGGAUGACCGGCCACACUGGAACUGAGACACGGGCCAGACUCCUACGGGAGGCAGCAGUGGGGAAUAUUGCACAAUGGGCGCAAGCCUGAUGCAGCCAUGCCGCGUGUGUGAAGAAGGCCUUCGGGUUGUAAAGCACUUUCAGCGGGGAGGCGUUACCCGCAGAAGAAGCACCGGCUAACUCCGUGCCAGCAGCCGCGGUAAUAC